AUUGAACGCUGGCGGCAUGCCUUACACAUGCAAGUCGAACGGUAACGGGCCUUCGGGUGCCGACGAGUGGCGAACGGGUGAGUAAUGUAUCGGAACGUACCUUUCAGUGGGGGAUAACGUAGCGAAAGUUACGCUAAUACCGCAUAUUCUGUGAGCAGGAAGGCAGGGGACCGCAAGACCUUGCGCUGAUUGAGCGGCCGAUGUCAGAUUAGCUAGUUGGUGAGGUAAAGGCUCACCAAGGCGACGAUCUGUAGCGGGUCUGAGAGGAUGAUCCGCCACACUGGGACUGAGACACGGCCCAGACUCCUACGGGAGGCAGCAGUGGGGAAUUUUGGACAAUGGGGGCAACCCUGAUCCAGCCAUGCCGCGUGAGUGAAGAAGGCCUUCGGGUUGUAAAGCUCUUUCGGCCGGGAAGAAAUCGUAUGGGCUAAUACCCUGUGCGGAUGACGGUACCGGCAUAAGAAGCACCGGCUAACUACGUGCCAGCAGCCGCCGUAAAAC
rnacentral:rRNA from 1 species